GGGGAGAAACAGGGGACUCCGGGGGAGAGGGAGAACCAGGAUGGGGAUGGUGAACCAGAGGAUGAGGGGAAACAGGGGACCCGGGGGAGGGGGGGAAUCGGGAUGGGGAGAGGCAACCAGAGGAUGGGGGUAGACAGGGGACGGGGAGGGGGGAACCAGGAUGGAGAGGGACAACGGGGGGAUGGGGGAAACGGGGGACCGGGGGGAAGAGAGGGGAACCGGGAUGGGUAGGGACGGCCGGGGAAUGGGUGGGAACCCGGGGACGGGAGGGUUGAACCAGGAUGGGGGGAACCAGGUGACCGGUGUGUUGGACCAGGAUGGGGAGGCGGACCAGGAUAGGCGAGGAACCAGGGGACCGGAGGUGGCGGAGGAUUGAAGCGGGAGCAGGGGAAACCAGGGGACCAGGGCGGGUUGGACCACGAUAGGGAGGGCGAAUGAAUCUGGGGCGGAGGAGGAGGAGAAGCGGGUGGCGGGGGUGGGGGGUGGGGGGCGAACCAGGGAACGGUGGUGAGCCGAUCAAGGACGGGGGCGGGUGGCUCCGGCCCAGUCCGGCCCACCGGGCUUCCAAAGGGGAAGGUGCGGCCUCCGCUCUGGGCCUGGCGGCCGGUCGCCUUCUCCACCUUGUCCGUCCUCGCGUGACCGAGGGAGGACUGGCCGCCGGGGGACCGCCCCUGAGCAAAGAGCAGCUGACUGAUCUUCAUAGAACGGACGUGUUUUUGCAAAUAAGGGAGGAGAUGCCCCUGGAAACAUUGAUGUGGUUCAACAGAAAAGCAGUGUGAGCUACUGGAUAGAGCCCAAGACUAGAAGUCAGGAGACUUGGGUUCUAAUCUUGGCUUUGCUACGUCCCUGUUGUGUGACCUCGGGCA
rnacentral:lncRNA from 1 species